rnacentral:rRNA from 1 species
UACGGAGGGUGCAAGCGUUAAUCGGAAUUACUGGGCGUAAAGCGCGCGUGGGCGGUUACGUAAGUCGGAUGUGAAAGCCCCGGGCUUAACCUGGGAAUUGCAUUCGACACUGCGUGACUAGAGUUUGGUAGAGGCUAGCGGAAUUCCAGGUGUAGCGGUGAAAUGCGUAGAUAUCUGGAGGAACAUCAGUGGCGAAGGCGGCUGGCUGGACCAAAACUGACGCUGAGGUGCGAAAGCGUGGGGAGCAAACAGG